AGUGAACGCUGGCGGUAGGCCUAACACAUGCAAGUCGAACGGCAGCACAGUAAGAGCUUGCUCUUACGGGUGGCGAGUGGCGGACGGGUGAGGAAUACAUCGGAAUCUACUUUUUCGUGGGGGAUAACGUAGGGAAACUUACGCUAAUACCGCAUACGACCUACGGGUGAAAGCAGUGGAGCUUCGGACCUUUCGCGAUUGAAUGAGCCGAUGCCGGAUUAGCUAGUUGGCGGGGUAAAGGCCCACCAAGGCGACGAUCCGUAGCUGAUCUGAGAGGAUGAUCAGCCACACUGGAACUGAGACACGGUCCAGACUCCUACGGGAGGCAGCAGUAGGGAAUAUUGGGCAAUGGGCGCAAGCCUGAUCCAGCCAUGCCGCGUGAGUGAAGAAGGCCUUCGGGUUGUAAAGCCCUUUUGUUGGGAAAGAAAAGCAGCAGAUUAAAACCCCGCUGUUCUGACGGUACCCAAAGAAUAAGCCCCGGCUAACUUCGUG
rnacentral:rRNA from 1 species